rnacentral:rRNA from 1 species
UGAGGGAAUAUUUGGGGUCAAUGGACGAAAGUCUGAACCAGCCAUGCCGCGUGAAGGAAUAAGGCCCUAUGGGUCGUAAACUUCUUUGUAUGUGAGCAAUAAGGUCCACGAGUGGUCCGAUGAGAGUAGCAUACGAAUAAGCAUCGGCUAACUCCGUGCCAGCAGCCGCGGUAAUACGGAGGAUGCAAGCGUUAUCCGGAUUCAUUGGGUUUAAAGGGUGCGUAGGCGGCUUGGUAAGUCAGCGGUGAAAUUCCAGUGCUCAACAUUGGCCGUGCCGUUGAUACUGCUGGGCUUGAAUGCGGAUGCCGUGGGAGGAAUGUGUGGUGUAGCGGUGAAAUGCAUAGAUAUCACACAGAACACCGAUUGCGAAG